AACGUAGGUGGCGAGCGUUAUCCGGAUUUAUUGGGCGUAAAGAGGGCGCAGGCGGCUUUUCAAGUUAGGUGUAAAAUCUCCUGGCCUAACUGGGAGGGAACAUCUAAUACUGUUAAGCUGGAGGACAACAGAGGGAGGUAGAAUUCCCGGUGUAGUGGUGAAAUGCGUAGAUAUCGGGAGGAAUACCAGUGGCGAAAGCGGCCUCCCAGGUUGUUUCUGACGCUUAAGCCCGAAGGCGUGGGGAG
rnacentral:rRNA from 1 species